CCGGAAUACCGGGUUAAAGGGGGUAGGUAUACGCUGGGGUUAAUAGCUCCGGAGUGCCGAGCCCGACAGUACCGCAAGCCCUCGGGCGCGCGGAUAGUGGCCCUAAGCAGACUUCCAAGAAAAUCUUCUACGCACCAGGCAUGCGGCGCUCGUACCGUAAACCGACACAGGUGGUCAAGGAGAGAAUCCUGAGGCGCUCGAGUGGAUCACGGCCAAGGAACUCGGCAAACUAGUCCUGUAACUUCGGGAAAAAGGACCCCCCCGGCAACGGGGGGCGCAGAGAAAUGGCCCAGGCGACUGUUUAUCAAAAACACAGGGCUAUGCGAAAUCGAAAGAUGAUGUAUAUGGCCUGACACCUGCCCGGUGCCGGAAGGUUAAGAGGAGACGUCAUCUUCGGAGAAGCGUUGAAUUGAAGCCCCGGUAAACGGCGGCCGUAACAAUAACGGUCCUAAGGUAGCGAAAUUCCUUGUCGGGUAAGUUCCGACCUGCACGAAUGAUGUAACGAUCUGGGCGCUGUCUCAGCCGUGAGCUCGGUGAAAUUGUAGUAGCGGUGAAGAUGCCGCUUACCCGCAACGGGACGGAAAGACCCCGUGCACCUUCACUGCAACUUAACGUUGGUUCUGGGCAAGAGAUGUGUAGGAUAGGCCGGAGGCGCUGAAGCGGGUACGCCAGUAUUCGUGGAGCCGACGUUGAAAUACGGCCCUUCUCUUGUUUGGAGUCUAACCCCUUAACAGGGAGACAGCGUUUGGUGGGUAGUUUGACUGGGGUGGUCGCCUCCAAAAGAGUAACGGAGGCUUCCCAAGGUACCCUCAGCGCGGAUGGUAACCGCGCGCAGCGUGCAAUGGCAUAAGGGUGCUUGACUGUGAGGCCGACAAGCCGAGCAGGGACGAAAGUCGGGCAUAGUGAUCCGGUGGUUCCGCGUGGAAGGGCCAUCGCUCAAAGGAUAAAAGGUACGCCGGAUAACAGGCUGAUCGCUCCCAAGAGCUCAUAUCGACGGAGCGGUUUGGCACCUCGAUGUCGGCUCGUCACAUCCUGGGGCUGGAGAAGGUCCCAAGGGUUCGGCUGUUCGCCGAUUAAAGUGGCACGCGAGCUGGGUUCAGAACUUCGUGAGACAGUUCGGUCCCUAUCUGUUGCGGGCGUAGGAGGCUUGAAGGGAGCUGACUCUAGUACGAGAGGACCGAGUUGGACGAACCGCUAGUGUGCCAGUUGUACCGCCAGGUGCACCGCUGGGUAGCUACGUUCGGCCGGGAUAGCGCUGAAAGCAUCUAAGCGCGAAGCCCCCCCUAAGAUGAGGCCUCCCUUGAGGGGCGUUGGAGACUAC
rnacentral:rRNA from 1 species